rfam:Oryza punctata chromosome 4, whole genome shotgun sequence.
AAUAAGUGCAGUUUUGCACUGUUCAUAUCCAAUGUUUAACCGUCUCUUAUUUGAAAUUUUUUUUAUGAUUAGUUUUUUUAUUAUUAGAUGAUAAAACAUAACUAUUUUUUUAAUUUUUUAUAAAUUUUUUAAAUAAGACGGACGGUCAAACUUGAAUACGGAUAUCCGCGACUGUGCUUAUU